CCUACGGGUGGCAGCAGUGAGGAAUAUUGGUCAAUGGGCGCGAGCCUGAACCAGCCAAGUAGCGUGAAGGAUGACUGCCCUACGGGCUGUAAACUUCUUUUAUAAAGGAAUAAAGUGAGGCACGUGUGUCUUUUUGUAUGUAUUUUAUGAAUAAGGAUCGGCUAACUCCGUGCCAGCAGCCGCGGUAAUACGGAGGAUCCGAGCGUUAACCGGAUUUAUUGGGUUUAAAGGGAGCGUAGAUGGGUUGUUAAGUCAGUUGUGAAAGUUUGCGGCUCAACCGUAAAAUUGCAAUUGAUACUGGCAGUCUUGAGUACAGUUGAGGUAAGCGGAAUUCGUGGUGUAGCGGUAAAAUGCUUAGAUAUCACGAAGAACUCCGAUUGCGAAGGCAGUUCACUGGACUGCAACUGACACUGAGGCUCGAAAGUGUGGGUAUCAAACAGGAUUAGAUACCCCUGUAGUC
rnacentral:rRNA from 1 species